GAUGAACGCUGGCGGCGUGCCUAAUACAUGCAAGUCGAGCGAACGGACGAGAAGCUUGCUUCUCUGAUGUUAGCGGCGGACGGGUGAGUAACACGUGGAUAACCUACCUAUAAGACUGGGAUAACUUCGGGAAACCGGAGCUAAUACCGGAUAAUAUUUUGAACCGCAUGAUUCAAAAGUGAAAGACGGUCUUGCUGUCACUUAUAGAUGGAUCCGCGCUGCAUUAGCUAGUUGGUAAGGUAACGGCUUACCAAGGCAACGAUGCAUAGCCGACCUGAGAGGGUGAUCGGCCACACUGGAACUGAGACACGGUCCAGACUCCUACGGGAGGCAGCAGUAGGGAAUCUUCCGCAAUGGGCGAAAGCCUGACGGAGCAACGCCGCGUGAGUGAUGAAGGUCUUCGGAUCGUAAAACUCUGUUAUUAGGGAAGAACAUAUGUGUAAGUAACUGUGCACAUCUUGACGGUAUCUAAUCAGAAAGCCACGGCUAACUACGUA
rnacentral:rRNA from 1 species